rnacentral:rRNA from 1 species
CCUACGGGCGGCAGCAGUGAGGAAUAUUGGUCAAUGGACGCAAGUCUGAACCAGCCAUGCCGCGUGCAGGAAGACGGCUCUAUGAGUUGUAAACUGCUUUUGUACGAGGGUAAACGCAGAUACGCGUAUCUGUCUGAAAGUAUCGUACGAAUAAGGAUCGGCUAACUCCGUGCCAGCAGCCGCGGUAAUACGGAGGAUUCAAGCGUUAUCCGGAUUUAUUGGGUUUAAAGGGUGCGUAGGCGGUCGGAUAAGUUAGAGGUGAAAUCCCGAGGCUCAACUUCGGAAUUGCCUCUGAUACUGUUCGUCUAGAGAGUAGUUGCGGUAGGCGGAAUGUAUGGUGUAGCGGUGAAAUGCUUAGAGAUCAUACAGAACACCGAUUGCGAAGGCAGCUUACCAAGCUACUUCUGACGUUGAGGCACGAAAGCGUGGGGAGCAAACAGGAUUAGAUACCCUUGUAGUC